rnacentral:piRNA from 1 species
UGAUUUGAAUCUGAGUGAUUA